rnacentral:rRNA from 1 species
GUGGGGAAUCUUGCGCAAUGGGCGAAAGCCUGACGCAGCCAUGCCGCGUGUAUGAUGAAGGUCUUAGGAUUGUAAAAUUCUUUCACCGGGGACGAUAAUGACGGUACCCGGAGAAGAAGCCCCGGCUAACUUCGUGCCAGCAGCCGCGGUAAUACGAAGGGGGCUAGCGUUGCUCGGAAUUACUGGGCGUAAAGGGCGCGUAGGCGGACAGUUUAGUCAGAGGUGAAAGCCCAGGGCUCAACCUUGGAAUUGCCUUUGAUACUGGCUGGCUUGAGUACGGGAGAGGUGAGUGGAACUCCGAGUGUAGAGGUGAAAUUCGUAGAUAUUCGGAAGAACACCAGUGGCGAAGGCGACUCACUGGCCCGUUACUGACGCUGAGGCGCGAAAGCGUGGGGAGCAAACAGGAUUAGAAACCCUAGUAGUCC